rnacentral:rRNA from 1 species
ACGAACGCUGGCGGCGUGCCUCAUACAUGCAAGUAGAACGCACAGUUUAUACCGUAGCUUGCUACACCAUAGACUGUGAGUUGCGAACGGGUGAGUAACGCGUAGGUAACCUGCCUGGUAGCGGGGGAUAACUAUUGGAAACGAUAGCUAAUACCGCAUAAUAUUGUUUAUUGCAUGAUAAUUGAUUGAAAGAUGCUAUUGCAUCACUACCAGAUGGACCUGCGUUGUAUUAGCUAGUAGGUGAGGUACCGGCUCACCUAGGCGACGAUACAUAGCCGACCUGAGAGGGUGAUCGGCCACACUGGGACUGAGACACGGCCCAGACUCCUACGGGAGGCAGCAGUAGGGAAUCUUCGGCAAUGGACGAAAGUCUGACCGAGCAACGCCGCGUGAGUGAAGAAGGUUUUCGGAUCGUAAAGCUCUGUUGUAAGAGAAGAACGGGUGUGAGAGUGGAAAGUUCACACUGUGACGGUAUCUUACCAGAAAGGGACGGCUAACUACGUG